UGCGUAGGUGGUUACCUAAGCGCAAGGUUUAAAUUAGAGGCUCAACCUCUACAUGCCUUGCGAACUGGGCUACUUGAGUGCAGGAGGGGAAAGCGGAAUUCCUAGUGUAGCGGUGAAAUGCGUAGAUAUUAGGAGGAACAUCAGCGGCGAAGGCGGCUUUCUGGACUGCAACUGACACUGAGGUACGAAAGCGUGGGGAGCAAACA
rnacentral:rRNA from 1 species